UACAGAGGGGGCAAGCGUUAUUCGGAAUUAUUGGGCGUAAAGGGCGCGUAGGCGGCUUUGCAAGUGACGGGUGAAAUCCCUCGGCUUAACCGAGGAACUGCCUGUCAAACUGCAUGGCUUGAGACCGGGAGAGGUGAGUGGAAUUCCCAGUGUAGCGGUGAAAUGCGUAGAUAUCGGGAAGAACACCCGUGGCGAAGGCGGUUCUCUGGGACGGUACUGACGCUGAGACGCGAAAGCGUGGGGAGCGAACAGG
rnacentral:rRNA from 1 species